GCCAGCCCGCUCAGAACUCAAAUGAAUUGACGGGGGCCCGGCACAAGCGGUGGAGUAUGUGGUUUAAUUCGAUGCAACGCGAAGAACCUUACCUGGUCUUGACAUCCCGGAGACCCUUAGGAAACUAGGGGGUGCUUCCAUCUGGAAGAAUCUGGAGACAGGUGCUGCAUGGCUGUCGUCAGCUCGUGUCGUGAGAUGUUGGGUUAAGUCCCGCAACGAGCGCAACCCUUGCCUUUAGUUGCCAGCAGUUCGGCUGGGCACUCUAAAGGGACUGCCGGUGUUAAACCGGAGGAAGGUGGGGAUGACGUCAAGUCCUCAUGGCCUUUAUGACCAGGGCUACACACGUACUACAAUGGCCGAUACAAAGGGCAGCGACACUGCGAGGUGAAGCCAAUCCCGUAAAAUCGGUCUCAGUCCGGAUUGGAGUCUGCAACUCGACUCCAUGAAGUUGGAAUCGCUAGUAAUCGUGGAUCAGCAUGCCACGGUGAAUACGUUCCCGGGCCUU
rnacentral:rRNA from 1 species